rnacentral:rRNA from 1 species
ACAUGCAAGUCGAGGGGCAGCAUGAACUUAGCUUGCUAAGUUUGAUGGCGACCGGCGCACGGGUGAGUAACACGUAUCCAACCUGCCGAUGACUCGGGGAUAGCCUUUCGAAAGAAAGAUUAAUACCCGAUGGCAUAGUUCUUCCGCAUGGUAGAACUAUUAAAGAAUUUCGGUCAUCGAUGGGGAUGCGUUCCAUUAGGUUGUUGGCGGGGUAACGGCCCACCAAGCCUUCGAUGGAUAGGGGUUCUGAGAGGAAGGUCCCCCACAUUGGAACUGAGACACGGUCCAAACUCCUACGGGAGGCAGCAGUGAGGAAUAUUGGUCAAUGGACGAGAGUCUGAACCAGCCAAGUAGCGUGAAGGAUGACUGCCCUAUGGGUUGUAAACUUCUUUUAUACGGGAAUAAAGUGAGGCACGUGUGCCUUUUUGUAUGUACCGUAUGAAUAAGGAUCGGCUAACUCCGUGCCAGCAGCCGCGGUAAUACGGAGGAUCCGAGCGUUAUCCGGAUUUAUUGGGUUUAAAGGGAGCGUAGGCGGACGCUUAAGUCAGUUGUGAAAGUUUGCGGCUCAACCGUAAAAUUGCAGUUGAUACUGGGUGUCUUGAGUACAGUAGAGGCAGGCGGAAUUCGUGGUGUAGCGGUGAAAUGCUUAGAUAUCACGAAGAACUCCGAUUGCGAAGGCAGCUUGCUGGACUGUAACUGACGCUGAUGCUCGAAAGUGUGGGUAUCAAACAGGAUUAGAUACCCUGGUAGUCCACACAGUAAACGAUGAAUACUCGCUGUUUGCGAUAUACAGUAAGUGGCCAAGCGAAAGCGUUAAGUAUUCCACCUGGGGAGUACGCCGGCAACGGUGAAACUCAGAGGAAUUGACGGGGGCCCGCACAAGCGGAGGAACAUGUGGUUUAAUU